UACGUAGGGACCAAGCGUUGUUCGGAUUUACUGGGCGUAAAGGGCGCGUAGGCGGCUUAACAAGUCACUUGUGAAAUCUCCGGGCUUAACUCGGAACGGCCAAGUGAAACUGUCAAGCUAGAGUGCAGAAGGGGCAAUCGGAAUUCUUGGUGUAGCGGUGAAAUGCGUAGAUAUCAAGAGGAACACCUGAGGUGAAGACGGGUUGCUGGGCCAACACUGACGCUGAGGCGCGAAAGCCAGGGGAGCAAACGGG
rnacentral:rRNA from 1 species